ensembl:snRNA U6 U6 spliceosomal RNA
GUGCUCGCUACGGUGGCACAUAUACUAAAAUUGGAUCGAUACAGAGAAGAUUAGCAUGGCCCCUGCGCAAAGGA